GCGGCCGCUCUGUUUGAUCCUGGCAGAGGUCACUGCUAUCGGUGUUCGAUUAAGCCAUGCGAGUCGAGAGGUGUUAUGGCCUCGGCGGACUGCUCAGUAACACGUGGAUAACCUACCCAAUAGUCUGGGAUGACCCCGGGAAACUGGGGAUAAUACCGGAUGGAUCAUCCUUGCUGGAAGGCUUGGUGGUUGAAACUCUUCGGGGGCUGUUGGAUGGGUCUGCGGCUGAUUAGGUUGUUGCCCGGUGUAAUGUACCGUCAAGCCUGUAAUCAGUACGGGUUGUGGGAGCAAGAGCCCGGAGAUGGAUUCUGAGACACGAAUCCAGGCCCUACGGGGCGCACAGGCGCGAAAACUCUACAAUGCAGGCAACUGCGAUAGGGGAACAUCGAGUGGUCCUCAUAUUGGGGGUCUGUCCACCCGCCUAAAAAGCGGGUGUUAGCAAGGGCCGGGCAAGACCGGUGCCAGCCGCCGCGGUAAUACCGGCGGCUCGAGUGGUGGCCGAUAUUAUUGAGUCUAAAGGGUCCGUAGCCGGCUUUGCAAGUCUCUCGGGAAAUCCAGCGGCUUAACCGUUGGUCGUCCGGGGGGUACUACAUUGCUUGGGACUGGGAGAGGCGAGAGGUACUCAGGGGGGUAGGAGAGAAAUCCUGUAAUCCUCUGGGGACCACCGGUGGCGAAGGCGUCUCGCCAGAACAGGUCCGACGGUGAGGGACGAAAGCUAGGGGCACGGACCGGAUUAGAUACCCGGGUAGUCCUAGCCGUAAACGAUGCUCGCUAGGUGUCACACCAGUCGUGAACUGUUGUGGUGCCGUAGGGAAGCCGUGGAGCGAGCCACUUGGGAAGUACGACCGCAAGGUUGAAACUUAAAGGAAUUGGCGGGGGAGCACCACAACGGGUGGAGCUGCGGUUUAAUUGGACUCAACGCCGGGAAGCUUACCGGGAUCGACAGUUGUAUGAAGGCCAGGCUGAAGACCUUGCCGGACUAUCUGAGAGGAGGUGCAUGGCCGCCGUCAGUUCGUACCGUGAGGCGUCCUGUUAAAKCAGCAAACGAGCGAGACCC
rnacentral:rRNA from 1 species